CGUCAUGCAGGUGAAGCCCAGGGCCCAGCUUGGUUUUAUUCCUGAACCAGCUGAACAUUGCAGGUGGCCUUGCAGGUGUGUUCUGAAUGUCAUAUAGUUCCCUCCUGAUUCUCCGAAAUCAAUCUGACUGCACAGUACUAUGGCUUGAGAAGACUGGAGGAUUACGUUUAAUCUGUAAACGUUCUGCUGCCAGGAACAGCAAUACUGCAAUUUUCUUUUGUUAAUCCCAGAGAGAGCAGUAAUUAACUGGGAUUCCAUCUCAAUGUUGUGUAACAGAUGCCUGACAGGACCAUCUUCACUCCAGCCGAAUGGAGCGUGCCUUGUAAAAUGUGCAAAAUGUAUGCCUUGUAAAAUUAUAAAAUAAAAAAACAGAUAAUGGCUGUUAUCAA